rnacentral:lncRNA from 1 species
CAAACAUCCAGAUUAAUGUUUGACCAACUAUCUGGAUGCUGUGGACUGGCCAAGUUGGUACAUAAAAUUAACUGCUCUGGCCUCACAAGAUUAAAACUUGGUAAGAAAGUAGACACGGAAGUGUGUCUCUGUCCAGUUCCACCUAAACUGUGCUGGCAGAAACUUUGGCUCCUGCUGCUUAGCUCCUUCAGCGACCUGCGAGUCUGUCUCACGAAAAGAUACCGACCGCCAUCUUGAAUUUCUAAGCACUAAACACGAAGAGAUGUGAGUUUCUCAAAAGGUA